rnacentral:rRNA from 1 species
UGGGGAAUCUUGCACAAUGGAGGAAACUCUGAUGCAGCGACGCCGCGUGAGCGAAGAAGCCUUUCGGGGUGUAAAGCUCUUACGCCAGGGACGAUAAUGACGGUACCUGGAGAAGCAGCUGCGGCUAACUACGUGCCAGCAGCCGCGGUAAUACGUAGGCAGCAAGCGUUGUUCGGAAUUACUGGGCGUAAAGGGUGCGUAGGCGGCGCUCUAAGUUUGGUGUGAAAUCUCCCGGCUUAACUGGGAGGGUGCACUGAAAACUGGGGCGCUCGAGGAUGGGAGAGGAAAGCGGAAUUCCUGGUGUAGCGGUGAAAUGCGUAGAGAUCAGGAGGAGCACCCGCGGUGCAGACGGCUUUCUGGACCAUCACUGACGCUGAGGCACGAAAGCGUGGGUAGCAAACA